rnacentral:rRNA from 1 species
GAGUAACGAGUGGCAGGCAGAGGCGGUAAGAGGUGGGGAGCAAGCGUUAUCCGGAAUGACUGGGGUUAAGGCGUGAGUAGGUGGCGGGUUAAGUGAGGUGUUAAAUCGUGUGGCUCAACCAUAUCGAUGCGUCUCAUACUGGCGUGGUAGAGGACAGCAGAGGCAAGUGGAAUUGGUAGUGUAGCAGUGAAAUGCGUAGAUAUUACCAGGAACACCAAUGGCGAAGGCAGCUUGCUGGGCUACUCCUGACACUGAGGUACGAAAGCGUGGGGAGCGAACAGGAUUAGAUACCCUGUAGUC